rnacentral:lncRNA from 1 species
CACCAUCUGCUGUAAAGGCCACAACUGAAGGGGUGGUUCUGGCACCUUCGGCAUUCUCCAGCACCUAAACUCCCAAAAUGUGAUAGAGACAUGAAUCCCUGGCCUGAACUGGGGAAGUCACUUUCAGGAUUAAAGGCAGCCAACAGAACAUCAGCACCCAGAGCCCUGGAGAACAGCAUCUGUGUUUGAGUGGGUAUAGGGAGAGAGAGGCUGCAUUUCUAAAAUAUCUCUGAGAACAAGCUGCUUUUCAGAAUUCAAAUCAACAUGUGAUCUUCUUCACUUUAGGGGUAUAUGCAGGAAGCCAUUAGACACAACCAGCAAAGGGCCAUACGGCAGAUAACGUGUGACUUCUUCCCUUUCGUGUACCACAGAAGUCCAUUGGUGGUGAAUAUGUGAACAGCUA